rnacentral:lncRNA from 1 species
CAUUUCUAUCUAAUUUUAUUUAUUACAUUUAUAUGCCUCCUGUUCUUCCAGGGAGCUCAAGGUGGUUCUCCUCCCCAUUUCAUCCUAAUAACAACCCUGUGAAGUAGGUUGGGUCUGAGAAAUGGUGACUGGCCCAAGCUCACCCGGCCAGCUUCAUGGCUGAGUUGGGGAUUUGAACCUUGGUCUCCCAGGUCACAGGCCAACACCCCAGCCAUUACGCUACACUGGCUCUCUGUCCCAAAGGAGCAUCCUUGUGGCAUGCAGAAGGUCCCAGGUUCAAUCCCUGGCUACCUGUGGCUGAGAAAGUCUCCUGCUUGAGACCCUGGAGAGCUACUGCCAGUCAGUGUAAACCUGGGGUAGUCAAUGUGGUGUGUCGUCCCCCUGCCCAGAUGUGAUUGGGCUAUAACUCCCAUCACCUCUGACCAUUUGACCUGCUGGUUAGAAAUGAUGGGAGCUGGCAUCCAGCAAUCUCUGGAGGGCACCAUGUUGGCUACCCCUGCUCAAUGCCGUAACUCAGUGUGAGACAGUUCCCCAUGAAUUCUCUCUCUCUCUCUCUCUCUCUCUCUCUCAGGCUACAACCUCCACCCCAUGUGGAAUGAUAAUACUGACUUACCUUACAGGGGUGUUUAUUUAUUAAAUUUCUGUCUCACCCUUGCUCCCAGACCAUCUUCAAGGGCAGCCCCACAUGGAGCACAUUGCAGUAGUCCAGGUGGGAGGUCGCUAGGGCUUGUGCUGCAGAGGUCAGGCUACCCAGGUCGAGGGAACUGCCAUAGCCUGUGAACCCAUCUAAGCCAAGCACAAGUACUGCUUGCCACAGAGGCCACUUGGGACUCCAUGGAAAUCCAGAAGUACCUGUUCCUUCAGAGGGCUGUAAGGCGUCCAAGAACAAGUUGUCAGGCUAGUAUUUCUUCACAAGAAUUUUGUAAAGGUUAUAGCUAGAUCAUGCAAAGUGCUUUGAACACUUGAAAACAUAAAAACUUUAAAGUAUAGUAUUAUUGUUUAUAGGAAUGGUUUUCAGAAUUAAUAACAAUGGUUAACAUUUGAAUAGCACAUUUCAAGAGUGCAAAGUGUGUUUUUUUAACAUGCAUUAACUGAGUAAUUUCAACAAUGACUGCCCAAUCAGAUUGCUUUUGAUUGCAGGGGUGGAGUAGGGCUGCUUUUUACCCUCCGUUACCUGUUUUAGUCUCUGCUGAGUUACUCGCUAAAAUGCAUGUUGCGGUGUUAUUGUUCCUGCUCUAUUAUGGUUUGAUGCUUUAUUGUAAUACCGUAUAUGCUUUCAACUGAUUUUUUAAUCAGAUAUUGCAUGCCUCAUUUUUAUUUAAAGUAUUUCAUUAUUAUUAUUUAAAAAAAAAAAAACCACAGCUGACAAAUUUAUUAAAUUAAAACAGGUCACUAUAGUUGUCCCCACAUUUGCAGGUGGGGUGGGGGAAGGGACUAAGGCCAAGAGAGAGGGGCUUGCCUAUGCCUAAGAUAUUAAAGAAUAACUCUCAAAAAAUGUCAAAAUCUGUAAAAUUCACAUCAGAGCAGAGUAAAAUGGCAAUUUUGCUUCCUUGCCUUUUUGUGGCAUUCCUGAAGAUUGUGUAUAUUCACCCCUGAACUCCACUGCCCAUAUUGAUAUUGUCCCAGUAAGGUGAUUGCUACAGGAAAUUCAUUAUUGUGCACCACGUCAUGUAAUUAAAUUGGUAUGUCCUCAUUUUCUUGGUGGUGGUGGUGAGCUCAUUGUUUUAAGUUAUAAUGAAGCGAUUUCAUGGAGCCAGAGAUGAUGGGGUCCAAAAGGUCUGAUCAAAGUGCUGAUCACCAUGAAGUUGUUACAGUGUCACAUUUCUAACCAGUGCUUUUCUUCUAGACAUCCUUCUAUAUUCAAGUUACAAGAAGAAAUAUUCUGCCUAAACAUCAGGAAGAACUUUCUGAUGGUAAGAGUUGUUCAACUGUGGAACGGACUCCCUUGGAAGGUGGUGGACUCUCCUUCCUUGGAGGUUUUUAGACAGAGGUUGCAUGGCCAGAUUCCUGUAUUGCAAGAAGUUGGAACAGAUGACCCUCUGGGUUCCAUCCAACUCUACAAUUCUAGGAUUGUCUUCCUCACUGAUAAGCAGUGACUGUCAAAGCAAGCACUCAUGCUACCCGAAAUCAGCCUUCGUCAACCUGGUCCAUCCCCAUUCUUAAUGUUUCAACUCUCAUCAAGCCAAGCGCUGUCUGUGCUAACUGUAGUUUCUGAACCAUAUUCAAAGAUGGCCUCAUAUAAAAUGCAUUGCGUUCUAACCUGGAGGUUAUCAGAGCACAGACAGUGGAAGCCAGGCUAUCCCUGUCCAUAUAAGAUCAGACAUGGGCUACCAGCUGAAGCUGGUAGAAGACACGAUAUUGGAUUCAAAAGUACCCUCAGGAAGAAGAAGAAGAGGAGUUUGGAUUUGAUAUCCUGCUUUAUCACUACCCUAAGGAGUCUCAAAGCGGCUAACAUUCUCCUUUCCCUUCCUCCCCCUCAGCAAACACUCUGUGAGGUGAGUGAGGCUGAGAGACUUCAAAGAAAUGUGACUAGCCCAAGGUCACCCAGCAGCUGCAUGUGGAGGAGCGGGGAAGCGAACCCGGUUCACCAGAUUACGAGUCUACCACUCUUCACCACUACACCACACAGCUGUUCCUUCAAGCAGAUUAUAACCCUUCUCAGAACAAGUACAUUCCACUCAUGCAAACAGGGGAACCACUUGGAAACAGUGUCUCAAUCUUAUCCAACUUGACCAUUCGUUCCCGUCCAUUACUGAGCAUAGACACUGAUACAAUAGAGAAAAUAAAUAACGUGCUGAGACUGAUAUAAUAAUUCACACUUUAAGAGCAAGCUUAGUUUAAGCCCAGGUCCCUGUUUUUGGAGGCUGCACCCCACUAACUGUUGCUUAUUUAGUGUCACUAUAUUGUUACACUUGACAUGUAACUCUUAGGGUUUGUUUCUAAUUCUAGUAACUUGAUUGUUCAUUACU